rnacentral:misc_RNA from 1 species
CCUCAUCUUGCAGCCCUAGUUGGCAGGCAUAACCGGAAACCAUGGACGAAGUUUAUUAAUGUUGAGAAUCAGCAUUUGGCAGUUCCUGAGGCUGUUGACUUCCUUGACAUGUUGCUGCGAUAUGAUCACCAAGAUAGGCCAACUGCAAAAGAAGCAAUGGCCCAUCCAUACUUCUAUCCAAUUAGAAACGCAGAAAGCAGCAGGGUUCGUACGUAGUUUCAAAUCUCAGGAUGCUGUCAAGUUGCAGCAUCUGUCUGUGCUUGUUAAGGAGCUUUCCCUUGUAAUCUGACGUAAUUUAAAAUUAUGGUGGUGAGCAUGCAUCUGAUGAACUCGUUAAUGUUUCUGUUGUUACGAAGUGAUUCGAUUUUUCAAUGCUUAAUUUAGAUAUUUUCUAACUUUGA